CUCCCGAUAGCUCAGUUGGUAGAGCGCGGCAUUGUAAUUGUUCUAUCACGACUGCCGCGGCCACUUGUUCGAAUCAGGUUCGGGAGA